UACGGAGGGUGCAAACGUUGCUCGGAAUCAUUGGGCGUAAAGCGCACGUAGGCGGUCCAGCAAGUCGGGUGUGAAAGCCCUCGGCUUAACCGAGGAAGUGCAUUCGAAACUACUGGACUUGAGUACUGAAGAGGAUCGCGGAAUUCCCGGUGUAGAGGUGAAAUUCGUAGAUAUCAGGAGGAACACCGGUGGCGAAGGCGGGUUCUCUGGGACGGUACUGACGACUGGAGAACGCGAAAGCGUGGGGAGCGAACAGG
rnacentral:rRNA from 1 species